UGUGGGAGCGGGCUUGCUCGCGAAUGCGGUGGGUCAGUUAUGAAUUUUCUGACUGACACACCGCAUUCGCGAGCAAGCCCGCUCCCACA
rnacentral:misc_RNA from 1 species